rnacentral:rRNA from 1 species
UGGGGAAUAUUGCACAAUGGACGGAAGUCUGAUGCAGCGACGCCGCGUGGGGGAUGAAGGCUUUCGGGUUGUAAACUCCUUUCAGUACAGAAGAAGCUUUAUUGUGACGGUAUGUGCAGAAGAAGCGCCGGCUAACUACGUGCCAGCAGCCGCGGUAAUACGUAGGGCGCGAGCGUUGUCCGGAAUUAUUGGGCGUAAAGGGCUUGUAGGCGGUUGGCCGCGUCUGCCGUGAAAUCCUCUGGCUUAACUGGGGGCGUGCGGUGGGUACGGGUUGACUUGAGUGCGGUAGGGGAGACUGGAAUUCCUGGUGUAGCGGUGGAAUGCGCAGAUAUCAGGAGGAACACCGGUGGCGAAGGCGACUUUCUGGUCAUCAUCUGACGCUGAGGUACGAAAGCGUGGGUAGCAAACAGG